ACGGAGGGUGCAAGCGUUAUUCGGAAUCAUUGGGCGUAAAGGGCGUGUAGGCGGUUUAUCAAGUCAGAUGUGAAAGCCCGGGGCUCAACCUCGGAAGUGCAUUUGAAACUGGUAGACUUGAGUGCGGGAGAGGAAAGCGGAAUUCCCAGUGUAGAGGUGUUCUUCGUAGAGACUGGCGGGGAGACGCGUGGCGGUGGCGACUUAAGGGGACUACUCUGACUCUGAGGCGUGUAAUCGUGGUGAGCGGACUG
rnacentral:rRNA from 1 species